rnacentral:misc_RNA from 1 species
AUUGAUGAGUUUGGGCAUAUUGGAUCUCUGCCUUGGCAGUGACGAUGUGCAAUGCUUAUCUUUUCAGUUGGUGGCUCAAGUGCAUUAUAGCCUUGGCCUGGUUGGAUUUCCUGUGUUGAAUACCUAUUAAAAGGGCAUUUAUUCGGUUGCAAAUGUUUCAUUUCCACCUUAUUCCUUUGCUUUAGAGCUAUGGUUUGGGGUGGACCUCAAAGUGCCCAUUGUGCUCCACUUCCCUUGCAUCGAUGCAUACUCGGGUUGUUGGCUUACAAUGUCGUGGUCGAUCUCUCGGAUGCGGAAAAUUCGGUGGGCAUGAGGCCAUUGGUCUCUCUUUUGCCCUGUCCCUAAAGCGUUCUCCGCUUUGUGCGAACGACGAUCGUCACUGUUUCAGUUGGGUCUUCGUGGCCUGGCUCUUGCAGCGUCGGCGUUGAUGAGGAAUGCUACCUGGUUGAUCCUGCCAG